UAGAUUGAAGCCCGCUGGAUUGGGUUUUUAGUUGUUAACUAAAGGUUUAUGGGAUCGAGGCCCGUCAGUCUAG
rnacentral:tRNA from 2 species